AAAUUGAAGAGUUUGAUCAUGGCUCAGAUUGAACGCUGGCGGCAGGCCUAACACAUGCAAGUCGAGCGGUAGCACAGAGAGCUUGCUCUCGGGUGACGAGCGGCGGACGGGUGAGUAAUGUCUGGGAAACUGCCUGAUGGAGGGGGAUAACUACUGGAAACGGUAGCUAAUACCGCAUAAUGUCGCAAGACCAAAGUGGGGGACCUUCGGGCCUCAUGCCAUCAGAUGUGCCCAGAUGGGAUUAGCUUGUAGGUGGGGUAACGGCUCACCUAGGCGACGAUCCCUAGCUGGUCUGAGAGGAUGACCAGCCACACUGGAACUGAGACACGGUCCAGACUCCUACGGGAGGCAGCAGUGGGGAAUAUUGCACAAUGGGCGCAAGCCUGAUGCAGCCAUGCCGCGUGUGUGAAGAAGGCCUUCGGGUUGUAAAGCACUUUCAGCGGGGAGGAAGGCGGUGAGGUUAAUAACCUCAUCGAUUGACGUUACCCGCAGAAGAAGCACCGGCUAACUCCGUGCCAGCAGCCGCGGUAAUACGGAGGGUGCAAGCGUUAAUCGGAAUUACUGGGCGUAAAGCGCACGCAGGCGGUCUGUCAAGUCGGAUGUGAAAUCCCGGGCUCAACCUGGGAACUGCAUUCGAAACUGGCAGGCUAGAGUCUUGUAGAGGGGGGUAGAAUUCCAGGUGUAGCGGUGAAAUGCGUAGAGAUCUGGAGGAAUACCGGUGGCGAAGGCGGCCCCCUGGACAAAGACUGACGCUCAGGUGCGAAAGCGUGGGGAGCAAACAGGAUUAGAUACCCUGGUAGUCCACGCCGUAAACGAUGUCGAUUUGGAGGUUGUGCCCUUGAGGCGUGGCUUCCGGAGCUAACGCGUUAAAUCGACCGCCUGGGGAGUACGGCCGCAAGGUUAAAACUCAAAUGAAUUGACGGGGGCCCGCACAAGCGGUGGAGCAUGUGGUUUAAUUCGAUGCAACGCGAAGAACCUUACCUGGUCUUGACAUCCACAGAACUUAGCAGAGAUGCUUUGGUGCCUUCGGGAACUGUGAGACAGGUGCUGCAUGGCUGUCGUCAGCUCGUGUUGUGAAAUGUUGGGUUAAGUCCCGCAACGAGCGCAACCCUUAUCCUUUGUUGCCAGCGGUCCGGCCGGGAACUCAAAGGAGACUGCCAGUGAUAAACUGGAGGAAGGUGGGGAUGACGUCAAGUCAUCAUGGCCCUUACGACCAGGGCUACACACGUGCUACAAUGGCAUAUACAAAGAGAAGCGACCUCGCGAGAGCAAGCGGACCUCAUAAAGUAUGUCGUAGUCCGGAUUGGAGUCUGCAACUCGACUCCAUGAAGUCGGAAUCGCUAGUAAUCGUAGAUCAGAAUGCUACGGUGAAUACGUUCCCGGGCCUUGUACACACCGCCCGUCACACCAUGGGAGUGGGUUGCAAAAGAAGUAGGUAGCUUAACCUUCGGGAGGGCGCUUACCACUUUGUGAUUCAUGACUGGGGUGAAGUCGUAACAAGGUAACCGUAGGGGAACCUGCGGUUGGAUCACCUCCUUACCUUAAAGAA
rnacentral:rRNA from 1 species